rnacentral:rRNA from 1 species
GAUGAACGCUGGCGGCGUGCCUAAUACAUGCAAGUCGAGCGAACAGACGAGGAGCUUGCUCCUCUGACGUUAGCGGCGGACGGGUGAGUAACACGUGGAUAACCUACCUAUAAGACUGGGAUAACUUCGGGAAACCGGAGCUAAUACCGGAUAAUAUAUUGAACCGCAUGGUUCAAUAGUGAAAGACGGUUUUGCUGUCACUUAUAGAUGGAUCCGCGCCGCAUUAGCUAGUUGGUAAGGUAACGGCUUACCAAGGCAACGAUGCGUAGCCGACCUGAGAGGGUGAUCGGCCACACUGGAACUGAGACACGGUCCAGACUCCUACGGGAGGCAGCAGUAGGGAAUCUUCCGCAAUGGGCGAAAGCCUGACGGAGCAACGCCGCGUGAGUGAUGAAGGUCUUCGGAUCGUAAAACUCUGUUAUUAGGGAAGAACAAAUGUGUAAGUAACGAUGCACGUCUUGACGGUACCGAAUCAGAAAGCCACGGCGAACUACGU